GUGCUCACUUUGGCAGCACAUAUAGUAAAAUUGGAAUGAUACCGAGAAGAUUAGCAUGGCCACUGCACAAGGAUGACACACACACACACACACAAACACAAAGAUCAG
rnacentral:snRNA from 1 species